CAAGUUUUUAAGGGCGCACGGUGGAUGCCUUGGCACCAGGAACCGAUGAAGGACGUGGGAGGCCACGAUAGUCCCCGGGGAGCUGUCAACCAAGCUUUGAUCCGGGGGUUUCCGAAUGGGGAAACCCGGCAGUCGUCAUGGGCUGUCACCCGCUGCUGAACACAUAGGCAGUGUGGAGGGAACGAGGGGAAGUGAAACAUCUCAGUACCCUCAGGAAGAGAAAACAACCGUGAUUCCGGGAGUAGUGGCGAGCGAAACUGGAUGAGGCCAAACCGUUUACGUGUGAUACCCGGCAGGGGUUGCGUAUGCGGGGUUGUGGGAGUUCUCUUUCACAGUCUGCCGGCUGUGAGGCGAGUCAGAAACCGUUGGUGUAGGCGAAGGACAUGCGAAAGGUCCGGCGUAGAGGGUAAGACCCCCGUAGCUGAAACAUCAACGGCUCGUUUGAGAACCACCCAAGUAGCACGGGGCCCGAGAAAUCCCGUGUGAAUCUGGCGGGACCACCCGCUAAGCCUAAAUAUUCCCUGGUGACCGAUAGCGGAUAGUACCGUGAGGGAAUGGUGAAAAGUACCGCGGGAGCGGAGUGAAAUAGUACCUGAAACCGUGUGCCUACAAGCCGUGGGAGCGUCGCUGGCAGCACUUGUGCUGUCAGUCGUGACUGCGUGCCUUUUGAAGAAUGAGCCUGCGAGUUAGCGGUGUGUAGCGAGGUUAACCCGUGUGGGGAAGCCGUAGCGAAAGCGAGUCCGAACAGGGCGUUUGAGUUGCACGCUCUAGACCCGAAGCGGAGUGAUCUAGCCAUGGGCAGGUUGAAGCGGAGGUAAGACUUCGUGGAGGACCGAACCCACCAGGGUUGAAAACCUGGGGGAUGACCUGUGGUUAGGGGUGAAAGGCCAAUCAAACUCCGUGAUAGCUGGUUCUCCCCGAAAUGCAUUUAGGUGCAGCGUCGUGUGUUUCUUGCCGGAGGUAGAGCACUGGAUAGGCGAUGGGCCCUACCGGGUUACUGACCUUAGCCAAACUCCGAAUGCCGGUAAGUGAGAGCGCGGCAGUGAGACUGUGGGGGAUAAGCUCCAUGGUCGAGAGGGAAACAGCCCAGAGCAUCGACUAAGGCCCCUAAGCGUACGCUAAGUGGGAAAGGAUGUGGAGUCGCAGAGACAACCAGGAGGUUGGCUUAGAAGCAGCCACCCUUGAAAGAGUGCGUAAUAGCUCACUGGUCAAGUGAUUCCGCGCCGACAAUGUAGCGGGGCUCAAGCGUACCGCCGAAGUCGUGUCA
rnacentral:rRNA from 1 species